rnacentral:rRNA from 1 species
UACGGAGGGUGCAAGCGUUGCUCGGAAUUAUUGGGCGUAAAGGGUAGGUAGGUGGUCUCAUUUGUCUGGGGUGAAAGCCUUGAGCUUAACUCAAGAAGUGCCCCAGAAACGGUGAGACUGGAGUCCUGGAGAGGGUCGUGGAAUUCCCGGUGUAGCGGUGAAAUGCGUAGAGAUCGGGAGGAACACCAGAGGCGAAGGCGGCGACCUGGACAGGAACUGACACUCAACUACGAAAGCGUGGGGAGCAAACAGG